CAUCUGGAAAGAUGAAUCAAAGAAGGUAAUAAUCCUGUAGUCGAAAAUGUUGUCUCUCUUGAGUGGAUCCUGAGUACGACGGAGCACGUGAAAUUCCGUCGGAAUCUGGGAGGACCAUCUCCUAAGGCUAAAUACUCUCUAGUGACCGAUAGUGAACCAGUACCGUGAGGGAAAGGUGAAAAGCACCCCGGAAGGGGAGUGAAAUAGAACCUGAAACCGUGUGCUUACAAGUAGUCAGAGCCCGUUAAUGGGUGAUGGCGUGCCUUUUGUAGAAUGAACCGGCGAGUUACGAUUUGAUGCAAGGUUAAGCAGUAAAUGUGGAGCCGUAGCGAAAGCGAGUCUGAAUAGGGCGUUUAGUAUUUGGUCGUAGACCCGAAACCAGGUGAUCUACCCUUGGUCAGGUUGAAGUUCAGGUAACACUGAAUGGAGGACCGAACCGACUUACGUUGAAAAGUGAGCGGAUGAACUGAGGGUAGCGGAGAAAUUCCAAUCGAACCUGGAGAUAGCUGGUUCUCUCCGAAAUAGCUUUAGGGCUAGCCUCAAGUGAUGAUUAUUGGAGGUAGAGCACUGUUUGGACGAGGGGCCCCUCUCGGGUUACCGAAUUCAGACAAACUCCGAAUGCCAAUUAAUUUAACUUGGGAGUCAGAACAUGGGUGAUAAGGUCCGUGUUCGAAAGGGAAACAGCCCAGACCACCAGCUAAGGUCCCAAAAUAUAUGUUAAGUGGAAAAGGAUGUGGCGUUGCCCAGACAACUAGGAUGUUGGCUUAGAAGCAGCCAUCAUUUAAAGAGUGCGUAAUAGCUCACUAGUCGAGUGACACUGCGCCGAAAAUGUACCGGGGCUAAACAUAUUACCGAAGCUGUGGAUUGUCCUUUGGACAAUGGUAGGAGAGCGUUCUAAGGGCGUUGAAGCAUGAUCGUAAGGACAUGUGGAGCGCUUAGAAGUGAGAAUGCCGGUGUGAGUAGCGAAAGACGGGUGAGAAUCCCGUCCACCGAUUGACUAAGGUUUCCAGAGGAAGGCUCGUCCGCUCUGGGUUAGUCGGGUCCUAAGCUGAGGCCGACAGGCGUAGGCGAUGGAUAACAGGUUGAUAUUCCUGUACCACCUAUA
rnacentral:rRNA from 1 species